rnacentral:misc_RNA from 1 species
UUUCCGUAGGUGAACCUGCGGAAGGAUCAUUGUCGAAACCUGCCCAGCAGAACGACCCGCGAACUUGUAUAAACAACCGGGGGCGGGGGGCGUUCUCGCCCCGUGCCCCCGAACGGCGGGGAGACACUCGUGCCUUCUUGCCGAACAACGAACCCCGGCGCGGUCUGCGCCAAGGAGCUUCAACUAAAGAGUGCCUCCGGUCGCCUCGGAAACGGCGUGCGUGCCGGGGGCGAAUCUUGUGCAAAACCAUAACGACUCUCGGCAACGGAUAUCUCGGCUCUC